rnacentral:lncRNA from 13 species
GAACAGAGUAGGUGGCAUAGAUAGACUGAGGCUGGCAGGCUGGCUUUGAGUACAGCUAAGACAUUUUUUGAGAAGUCCCUGAAAUACUUCAGAAGACUUUGCAGAGGCCUGGAGAUCACGUAUGAUCAAGCUCAGACUCCCUUCAGUGCUGUCAUCAUUAACUCCUGUAAGAACUCCGCAGGAUGGAUGGGCAUCAAAGCCCCUGCUUCUGCUCAACCAGGGGCAGUGUCUGCUGAAGUCUUGAGAUGGAGAGAGCCUUGAAUUCUGUCCAUGGCUUGUGUUUAUCGUCUCACACCAACUCCAGCCCUGAUGUUCACCAUGGCCGUGGCUUUGGUCCUGGUCAUUGCAGGAAGUUUCAGUACCGCAGUGAACUUCAUAAGGCAAGUGAGAUGGUCCUCCUAUAUAGUGUAUCUGAAGUCCCCAUGUGUACACAUUCAUACACACGCAUGUAUACAUCAACACAUGCAUGCACACUCCUGGACCCCUCCUACCAUGUUCAUAUAUGUGCAUAUCACAAACAUGUGCACACAUACUUCUGGAGACCUCUAUGUGUACACACUCACACCUGUGCAUGUAGACACAAACACAUCCAUGCACACUUUUGGAAGCCCCGGCUCAGGUCCCCUGAACAUGCAUCUACAUGUCAGUCAUGCUCUCCCAGUCAUGUUCCCAAAAUUAACAUGGCGCUUUCCUCCCUUGCCCUGUUUCUAAAAAUUCAG